rnacentral:rRNA from 1 species
UGGGGAAUAUUGCACAAUGGAGGGAACUCUGAUGCAGCGACGCCGCGUGAACGAAGAAGGCUUUCGAGUCGUAAAGUUCUUUUAUAUGGGAAGAUAAUGACGGUACCAUAAGAAAAAGCCUCGGCUAACUACGUGCCAGCAGCCGCGGUAAUACGUAGGGGGCUAGCGUUGUCCGGAAUCACUGGGCGUAAAGGGUUCGCAGGCGGAAAUGCAAGUCAGGUGUAAAAGGCAGUAGCUUAACUACUGUAAGCAUUUGAAACUGCAUAUCUUGAGAAGAGUAGAGGUAAGUGGAAUUUUUAGUGUAGCGGUGAAAUGCGUAGAUAUUAAAAAGAAUACCGGUGGCGAAGGCGACUUGCUGGGCUCAUUCUGACGCUGAGGAACGAAAGCGUGGGUAGCAAACAGG